rnacentral:rRNA from 1 species
UACGUAGGGGCGAGCGUUGUCCGGAGUUACUGGGCGUAAAGGGCAUGCAGGCGGUCCGACACGUUUUGUGUGACAGCGGGUGGCUUAACGACCCGAGGAUACGAAAGACGGUUGGACUUGAGGACUCGAGAGGGACACGGAAUUCCGGGUGGAGUGGUGAAAUGCGUAGAGAUCCGGAGGAACACCGAAGGCGAAGGCAGUGUCCUGGCGAGUGACUGACGCUGAGGUGCGAAAGCCAGGGGAGCGAACGGG